CCUACGGGGGGCAGCAGUGAGGAAUAUUGGUCAAUGGACGCGAGUCUGAACCAGCCAAGUCGCAUGAAGGAUGACUGCCCUCUGGGUUGUAAACUUCUUUUAUAAAGGAAUAAAACGAGGCACGUGUGCCUUUUUGCAUGUACUUUAUGAAUAAGGAUAGGCUAACUCCGUGCCAGCAGCCGCGGUAAUACGGGGGAUCCGAGCGUUACCCGGAUUUAAUGGGUUGAAAGGGAGCGCAGGUGGGUUGUUAAGUCAGUUGUGAAAGUUUGCGGCUCAACCGGAAAAUUGCAAUUGAUACUGGCAGUCUUGAGUACAGUUGAGGUAGGCGGAAUGCGUGGUGUAGCGGUGAAAUGCUUAGAUAUCACGAAGAACCCCGAUUGCGAAGGCAGCUUACUAAACUGUGACUGACGUUGAGGCUCGAAAGUGUGGGUAGCAAACAGGAUUAGAUACCCCUGUAGUC
rnacentral:rRNA from 1 species